UUAAGCGACUAAGCGUACACGGUGGAUGCCCUGGCAGUCAGAGGCGAUGAAGGACGUGCUAAUCUGCGAUAAGCGUCGGUAAGGUGAUAUGAACCGUUAUAACCGGCGAUUUCCGAAUGGGGAAACCCAGUGUGUUUCGACACACUAUCAUUAACUGAAUCCAUAGGUUAAUGAGGCGAACCGGGGGAACUGAAACAUCUAAGUACCCCGAGGAAAAGAAAUCAACCGAGAUUCCCCCAGUAGCGGCGAGCGAACGGGGAGGAGCCCAGAGCCUGAAUCAGUGUGUGUGUUAGUGGAAGCGUCUGGAAAGGCGCGCGAUACAGGGUGACAGCCCCGUACACAAAAAUGCACAUAUUGUGAGCUCGAUGAGUAGGGCGGGACACGUGGUAUCCUGUCUGAAUAUGGGGGGACCAUCCUCCAAGGCUAAAUACUCCUGACUGACCGAUAGUGAACCAGUACCGUGAGGGAAAGGCGAAAAGAACCCCGGCGAGGGGAGUGAAAAAGAACCUGAAACCGUGUACGUACAAGCAGUGGGAGCACGCUUAGGCGUGUGACUGCGUACCUUUUGUAUAAUGGGUCAGCGACUUAUAUUCUGUAGCAAGGUUAACCGAAUAGGGGAGCCGAAGGGAAACCGAGUCUUAACUGGGCGUUAAGUUGCAGGGUAUAGACCCGAAACCCGGUGAUCUAGCCAUGGGCAGGUUGAAGGUUGGGUAACACUAACUGGAGGACCGAACCGACUAAUGUUGAAAAAUUAGCGGAUGACUUGUGGCUGGGGGUGAAAGGCCAAUCAAACCGGGAGAUAGCUGGUUCUCCCCGAAAGCUAUUUAGGUAGCGCCUCGUGAAUUCAUCUCCGGGGGUAGAGCACUGUUUCGGCAAGGGGGUCAUCCCGACUUACCAACCCGAUGCAAACUGCGAAUACCGGAGAAUGUUAUCACGGGAGACACACGGCGGGUGCUAACGUCCGUCGUGAAGAGGGAAACAACCCAGACCGCCAGCUAAGGUCCCAAAGUCAUGGUUAAGUGGGAAACGAUGUGGGAAGGCCCAGACAGCCAGGAUGUUGGCUUAGAAGCAGCCAUCAUUUAAAGAAAGCGUAAUAGCUCACUGGUCGAGUCGGCCUGCGCGGAAGAUGUAACGGGGCUAAACCAUGCACCGAAGCUGCGGCAGCGACGCUGAUGCGUUGUUGGGUAGGGGAGCGUUCUGUAAGCCUGCGAAGGUGUGCUGUGAGGCAUGCUGGAGGUAUCAGAAGUGCGAAUGCUGACAUAAGUAACGAUAAAGCGGGUGAAAAGCCCGCUCGCCGGAAGACCAAGGGUUCCUGUCCAACGUUAAUCGGGGCAGGGUGAGUCGACCCCUAAGGCGAGGCCGAAAGGCGUAGUCGAUGGGAAACAGGUUAAUAUUCCUGUACUUGGUGUUACUGCGAAGGGGGGACGGAGAAGGCUAUGUUGGCCGGGCGACGGUUGUCCCGGUUUAAGCGUGUAGGCUGGUUUUCCAGGCAAAUCCGGAAAAUCAAGGCUGAGGCGUGAUGACGAGGCACUACGGUGCUGAAGCAACAAAUGCCCUGCUUCCAGGAAAAGCCUCUAAGCAUCAGGUAACAUCAAAUCGUACCCCAAACCGACACAGGUGGUCAGGUAGAGAAUACCAAGGCGCUUGAGAGAACUCGGGUGAAGGAACUAGGCAAAAUGGUGCCGUAACUUCGGGAGAAGGCACGCUGAUAUGUAGGUGAAGUCCCUUGCGGAUGGAGCUGAAAUCAGUCGAAGAUACCAGCUGGCUGCAACUGUUUAUUAAAAACACAGCACUGUGCAAACACGAAAGUGGACGUAUACGGUGUGACGCCUGCCCGGUGCCGGAAGGUUAAUUGAUGGGGUCAGCGCAAGCGAAGCUCUUGAUCGAAGCCCCGGUAAACGGCGGCCGUAACUAUAACGGUCCUAAGGUAGCGAAAUUCCUUGUCGGGUAAGUUCCGACCUGCACGAAUGGCGUAAUGAUGGCCAGGCUGUCUCCACCCGAGACUCAGUGAAAUUGAACUCGCUGUGAAGAUGCAGUGUACCCGCGGCAAGACGGAAAGACCCCGUGAACCUUUACUAUAGCUUGACACUGAACAUUGAGCCUUGAUGUGUAGGAUAGGUGGGAGGCUUUGAAGUGUGGACGCCAGUCUGCAUGGAGCCGGCCUUGAAAUACCACCCUUUAAUGUUUGAUGUUCUAACGUUGACCCGUAAUCCGGGUUGCGGACAGUGUCUGGUGGGUAGUUUGACUGGGGCGGUCUCCUCCUAAAGAGUAACGGAGGAGCACGAAGGUUGGCUAAUCCUGGUCGGACAUCAGGAGGUUAGUGCAAUGGCAUAAGCCAGCUUGACUGCGAGCGUGACGGCGCGAGCAGGUGCGAAAGCAGGUCAUAGUGAUCCGGUGGUUCUGAAUGGAAGGGCCAUCGCUCAACGGAUAAAAGGUACUCCGGGGAUAACAGGCUGAUACCGCCCAAGAGUUCAUAUCGACGGCGGUGUUUGGCACCUCGAUGUCGGCUCAUCACAUCCUGGGGCUGAAGUAGGUCCCAAGGGUAUGGCUGUUCGCCAUUUAAAGUGGUACGCGAGCUGGGUUUAGAACGUCGUGAGACAGUUCGGUCCCUAUCUGCCGUGGGCGCUGGAGAACUGAGGGGGGCUGCUCCUAGUACGAGAGGACCGGAGUGGACGCAUCACUGGUGUUCGGGUUGUCAUGCCAAUGGCACUGCCCGGUAGCUAAAUGCGGAAGAGAUAAGUGCUGAAAGCAUCUAAGCACGAAACUUGCCCCGAGAUGAGUUCUCCCUGACUCCUUGAGAGUCCUGAAGGAACGUUGAAGACGACGACGUUGAUAGGCCGGGUGUGUAAGCGCAGCGAUGCGUUGAGCUAACCGGUACUAAUGAACCGUGAGGCUUAACCUU
rnacentral:rRNA from 1 species